rfam:Human lymphadenopathy virus (MAL isolate), complete genome.
GGCGACUGGUGAGUACGCC